CCAAUAGCGUAUAUUAAAGUUGUUGCAGUUAAAAAGCUCGUAGUUGGAUUUGUGGUGUUUCCUGUGAUUGGUUUGGCUUGUCCUUACUUAAUCUGCGGGUGUGCCAUGUUUGGUUGGAUCCUGUGUGGCAUUAGGUUGUCGUGCAGGGGAUGGCCAUCGUUUACUGUGAAAAAAUUAGAGUGUUCAAAGCAGGCUUAUGCCUAUGAAUAUAUUAGCAUGGAAUAAUGAUAUAGGACCUUGGUACUAUUUUGUUGGUUUGCGCACUGAGGUAAUGAUUAACAGGGACAGUUGGGGGUAUUCGUAUUCCAUUGUCAGAGGUGAAAUUCUCGGAUUUUUGGAAGACGAACUACUGCGAAAGCAUUUACCAAGGAUGUUUUCAUUAA
rnacentral:rRNA from 1 species